rnacentral:rRNA from 1 species
AGAGUUUGAUCCUGGCUCAGGACGAACGCUGGCGGCGUGCUUAACACAUGCAAGUCGAACGAUGAAGCCGCUUCGGUGGUGGAUUAGUGGCGAACGGGUGAGUAACACGUGGGCAAUCUGCCCUGCACUCUGGGACAAGCCCUGGAAACGGGGUCUAAUACCGGAUAUGAUCACCGGCCGCAUGGUCUGGUGGUGGAAAGCUCCGGCGGUGCAGGAUGAGCCCGCGGCCUAUCAGCUUGUUGGUGGGGUGAUGGCCUACCAAGGCGACGACGGGUAGCCGGCCUGAGAGGGCGACCGGCCACACUGGGACUGAGACACGGCCCAGACUCCUACGGGAGGCAGCAGUGGGGAAUAUUGCACAAUGGGCGAAAGCCUGAUGCAGCGACGCCGCGUGAGGGAUGACGGCCUUCGGGUUGUAAACCUCUUUCAGCAGGGAAGAAGCCUUUAAAAGUGACGGUACCUGCAGAAGAAGCACCGGCUAACUACGUGCCAGCAGCCGCGGUAAUACGUAGGGUGCGAGCGUUGUCCGGAAUUAUUGGGCGUAAAGAGCUCGUAGGCGGCGUGUCACGUCGGAUGUGAAAGCCCGGGGCUCAACCCCGGGUCUGCAUUCGAUACGGGCAGGCUAGAGUUCGGUAGGGGAGAUCGGAAUUCCUGGUGUAGCGGUGAAAUGCGCAGAUAUCAGGAGGAACACCGGUGGCGAAGGCGGAUCUCUGGGCCGAUACUGACGCUGAGGAGCGAAAGCGUGGGGAGCGAACAGGAUUAGAUACCCUAGUAGUCC